rnacentral:rRNA from 1 species
AUUGAACGCUGGCGGCAUGCCUUACACAUGCAAGUCGAACGGCAGCACGGGUUCUUGCGCCUGGUGGCGAGGGGCGAACGGGUGAGUAAUACAUCGGAAGAUGUUCUCUAGUGGGGGAUAGCCCGGCUAAAGCCUGAUUAAUACGGCAUACGAACUACUGGUGAAAGCGUGGGCCCUUGUGGCCUCGCGCUGUUGGGUUGGUCAUUGGCUGAUUAGCUAGUGAGCGGGGGAUAGGCCUACCAAGGGGACGAGCAGUAGCUGGUCUGAGAGGGCGACCCGCCACACUGGGAGUGAGACACGGCCCACACUCCUACGGGAGGCACCAGUGGGGAAUUUUGGGGAAGGGGGGAGAGCGUGAUACUGCAAUACGGCGGGUGUGAAGAAGGCCUUCGGGUUGUAAAGCACUUUUGUCCGGAAAGAAAUCCUUGGCCCUAAUACGGUCGGGGGAUGACGGUACCGGAAGAAUAAGCACCGGCUAACUACGUG